rnacentral:rRNA from 1 species
CCUACGGGAGGCAGCAGUAGGGAAUCUUCCGCAAUGGACGAAAGUCUGACGGAGCAACGCCGCGUGAACGAUGAAGGCCUUCGGGUCGUAAAGUUCUGUUGUUAGGGAAGAACAAGUGCUAGUUAAAUAAGCUGGCACCUUGACGGUACCUAACCAGAAAGCCACGGCUAACUACGUGCCAGCAGCCGCGGUAAUACGUAGGUGGCAAGCGUUGUCCGGAAUUAUUGGGCGUAAAGCGCGCGCAGGCGGUUUCUUAAGUCUGAUGUGAAAGCCCCCGGCUCAACCGGGGAGGGUCAUUGGAAACUGGGAAACUUGAGUGCAGAAGAGGAAAGUGGAAUUCCAAGUGUAGCGGUGAAAUGCGUAGAGAUUUGGAGGAACACCAGUGGCGAAGGCGACUUUCUGGUCUGUAACUGACGCCGAGGCGCGAAAGCGUGGGGAGCAAACAGGAUUAGAUACCCUGGUAGUCCACGCUGUAAACGAUGAGUGCUAAGUGUUAGAGGGUUUCCGCCUUUAGUGCUGAAGUUAACGCAUUAAGCACUCCGCCUGGGGAUACGGUGCAAGACUGAAACUCAAAAGGUAGUAGUUGGACGUGUUAGAGUAGCGACGACGACGACGACGGAGGAGG